AUUGAACGCUGGCGGCAUGCUUUACACAUGCAAGUCGAACGGUAACAGGGUGCUUGCACCGCUGACGAGUGGCGAACGGGUGAGUAAUGCGUCGGAACGUGCCGAGUAGUGGGGGAUAACGCAGCGAAAGUUGUGCUAAUACCGCAUACGUACUGAGGUAGAAAGUGGGGGACCUUCGGGCCUCACGCUAUUCGAGCGGCCGACGUCUGAUUAGCUAGUAGGUGAGGUAAAGGCUCACCUAGGCGAUGAUCAGUAGCAGGUCAGAGAGGAUGAUCCGCCACACUGGGACUGAGACACGGCCCAGACUCCUACGGGAGGCAGCAGUGGGGAAUUUUGGACAAUGGGCGAAAGCCUGAUCCAGCCAUGCCGCGUGUCUGAAGAAGGCCUUCGGGUUGUAAAGGACUUUUGUCAGGGAGGAAAUCCCUAGUGCUAAUAACACUGGGGGAUGACAGUGCCUGAAGAAUAAGCACCGGCUAACUACGUGCCAGCCGCCGCAGUAA
rnacentral:rRNA from 1 species